rnacentral:rRNA from 1 species
AGCGAACGCUGGCGGCAGGCUUAACACAUGCAAGUCGAACGGGCAUCUUCGGAUGUCAGUGGCAGACGGGUGAGUAACACGUGGGAACGUACCCUUCGGUUCGGAAUAACUCAGGGAAACUUGAGCUAAUACCGGAUACGCCCUUUUGGGGAAAGGUUUACUGCCGAAGGAUCGGCCCGCGUCUGAUUAGCUUGUUGGUGGGGUAACGGCCUACCAAGGCGACGAUCAGUAGCUGGUCUGAGAGGAUGAUCAGCCACACUGGGACUGAGACACGGCCCAGACUCCCACGGGAGGCAGCAGUGGGGAAUAUUGGACAAUGGGCGCAAGCCUGAUCCAGCCAUGCCGCGUGAGUGAUGAAGGCCUUAGGGUUGUAAAGCUCUUUUGUCCGGGACGAUAAUGACGGUACCGGAAGAAUAAGCCCCGGCUAACUUCGUG